rnacentral:rRNA from 1 species
CAGCACCUCAAGUGGUCAGGAUGAUUAUUGGGCCUAAAGCAUCCGUAGCCGGCGCUGUAAGUUUUCGGUUAAAUCUGUACGCUCAACGUACAGGCUGCCGGGAAUACUGCAGCGCUAGGGAGUGGGAGAGGUAGACGGUACUCGGUAGGAAGGGGUAAAAUCCUUUGAUCUAUUGAUGACCACCUGUGGCGAAGGCGGUCUACCAGAACACGUCCGACGGUGGGGGAUGAAAGCUGGGGGAGCAAACCGGAUUAGAUACCCGAGUAGUCC